GACAAUUGGACUAGCAAGGACAGUAGAGAAUGGAAUACGAAGUGCACCCUGCGAACCAUCCAUCCUAUAUCCAAAAAGUGGAGGAAACAUUCAUUCUUUCACACCGUUGACGCCCUGUGCUAUCUUGGAUGUGUUGUCCCCUCCUUACUCUGAAGAGCAUGGGAGACCUUCCACUUACUUCUCAGAAUUCCCCAUUCCUGCUCUUCCUGGUUAUAUCGUGCUCGAAGAAAGAGACCUUCCAGGUGACCUUGUUGUUAUAGGAGCACCAUAUCUUGGCCCAGAUUUGACCUUUUAUGAAUAGAAACGUAGAAUGCAAAAUCAGAGCAUGUAUAGCUUGCAUAUGUGUUU
rnacentral:misc_RNA from 1 species